GGCCUUGCCCCCUACUGUGGCUGAUGCAUUCAAUGCCAACGGAAAUCGGAAACUCUAACUAGCUCAAAGGGCUGCGACUAAUCUUCCAGCUUGUCAGCGGCUUGGACCAGUGAGGAAGAAGGAUGAUGGCCGGCCUCUAUUCUGAUGUUCAAUCCUAUUUCAGCCUGCUGAUUUAAUGCCGGCCAAAUGCAAUCACUACACAAACAAGAGGUAGGGAAUCAUCGACUAAUGGAAGUCCUAAUUGAGAGGCGUCCACUUGUCAUGAGGUAAUUCUUCUCUGGACCAAGAUGAUACACCCCAAUAAGGAGGCCAUCUUGAUAAACAACCCCCACCACAUGCAUUAGGGAUGAUUUAGAAAUGUAAGGCUCUAACAAAUAGUCCCAUCCAAGAAGGGGAAGGACAGACAAACAAUGGUGAAAACACAUCAAGGACGGAGCUAAUUAACAAAAGAAGUCUGUGACCUUACUCUAAAAUCUUUGAGAGAAAUAAGGAUGAAGGAAUUUACUGUAAUACAAAAAACAUCUUUUAACCAGUGGCGUAUGAUCAAGCUGCCUUUUGCACGG